AAAAACAUGGCCUUUUGUUUAAAAUAUAAGGUCUAACCUGCUCAAUGAAUUUUAAAUAGCCGCAGUAUCUUAACUGUGCAAAGGUAGCAUAAUCAUUAGUUUCUUAAUUAGAAGCUGGAAUGAAAGGUUGAAUGAGAAAAUAACUGUCUCUAUAAAAUUUUUAUAGAAUUUUAUUUUUAAGUCAAAAAGCUUAAAUAUUAAUAAAAGACGAGAAGACCCUAUAGAGUUUUAUAUUUAUAUUUAAUAUUUCUUUUAGUAUUUUAAAAUCUAUUAUUUUAUAUUAUUUGGUUGGGGUGAUUAGAAAAUUUAAUAAACUUUUCUUUGAUAAAUACAUUUAUUUAUGAUAAAAUGAUCCAGUUUUUAGAUUAUAAGAUAAAAUUACCUUAGGGAUAACAGCGUAAUCUUUUUUGAGAGUUCUUAUCGAAAGAAGGGAUUGCGACCUCGAUGUUGGAUUAAAAUAAAUUUUUGGUGUAGAAGCUAAAUACAAUUAGGUCUGUUCGACCUUUAAAAUUUUACUUGAUCUGAGUU
rnacentral:rRNA from 1 species